rnacentral:rRNA from 1 species
UUUUUGAAUUUAAUUUAAAGUAGGGCCUGCCCACUGAUUAAUUGAAGGGCCGCAGUAUUUUGACUGUGCAAAGGUAGCAUAAUCAUUAGUUUUUUAAUUGAAAGCUUGUAUGAAUGGUUUGAUGAAAAAAUAGCUUUCUUUAAUUUAGCAAUAUUGAAGUUUAUUUUUAAGUUAAAAAGCUUAAAUAUUUGUAAAAGACGAGAAGACCCUAUAGAGUUUAAUUAUUAAAAAUAGAAUAUUUUUUAGAAUUUUAAAAAUUUUAUAUUUGGGAUAAUUUGAUUGGGGUGAUUAAAAAAUUAAAGAAACUUUUUUUAUUUUUGUACAUUAAUAUAUGAAUAUUUGAUCCAAUAAUUUGAUUAAAAGAAUAAAUUACCUUAGGGAUAACAGCGUUAUUUUUUUUUAGAGUUCAAAUCGAAAAAAGAGAUUGCGACCUCGAUGUUGGAUUAAAGUUAAAUUUAGGUGUAGGUGCUUAAAUAUUUGGUCUGUUCGACCAUUUAAACUUUACA